GCCAAUUUCAAUAAGUUAAGGGCAGCUUUAGAAUAUAUUGACUGGCAUAAACCCUUUAGUGAAAAGAACACUGAGGAUAAAUGGAACAUCUUCCAACAAAUAUUAGAAAGGUACAUUUCUCAGUAUGUACCAUUGGGUAAUAAAUAUAAAAUAAACAAAUUAAAACCAAUGUGGCUUAGUAGAGAAGUAAAACAAGAGAUUACAACUAAGAAAAGGGCAUUUAAAGCAUUAAAUCUGACAAAUCAGAUGCAUCUUAUAAAAGAUAUAAGGAAGCCAAUAAUGCGUUCAAAAAGGCGAUUAGAUUUGCUAAACUUCAAAAUGAAAAAAUGAUAGCUAAAGAGAGCAAAACCAACCGCAAAGCAUUUUUU